GUCACGUCCGGGAGCGCGGGGUCAGGCCAGGGGAUGUGGUACCGGCGAGGUUUGGCGGCUGCGCCGGCUGUCCGAGUCUCCGUCGUCAGGCGCGGGAGCGGCUUCGGUGACACCUCGCUCUCAUUCUGUACCGAGCGACUCGAGCGAGCGCCUGGAACUGGGGGAGGAGGCCUGGCCCGCCGCCCACCUGCCCCGCCGCCGCCACCCCUUGGGAGGCCGACGCGGUGGGGGCGCGAGUCGUGAGCCAGCGCCGGUCUCUCCUGGGCCUCGGCCCCCAGAAAGGCGGGAGGUCAGCGCAGGUACGCGGAAGCGUGCAGGCUGGACCACCUGCGGCCGCAGAAGGUAGAAUCCCCCGCCUCUCCGCAGCCCCAGUGGUGGCCCCUGUUCCCUGUUCUCCUGGAGCCUUGCGGGGAUGUUCCUAGACACGUCUAGAAACGACUCUUUCUUUUUCUUCUUUAUGGAUGAUGGGUUUAAACUUAAUCUUUUUUUUUUUUUUUUUUUUUUUUUUUUAGACAAAUCGUAGCCUCGUAGACCCAUUCUUUGUUCUGCACGUUGCCUUUCCCUCCGAAUGCUUAUUUCUUGGAGGUUGUCUGUUCCGCUACCUCAUGCCCUGCCUCAUUUUUAAAAACUGCCCAGUGGCCUUCCAUCAUGUGAAUAAACAGUUUAUUUAGGAGGUUUUGGUGAACGUGCGGGAUGGUUCUAGUCUUUUUGCAACCAGCUUUGGGCAUUUUUGAGAGAUGAAAGAAUGGGAGUAGGGGGCUUUCCAUGUCUCUUGCUUCCCAAAAAAGCCUCCUUCCAUAUUGCAAAGCUGGAAGAAGGCAUGUUCUGCUGCUGGUCCCUGAUAGUGACUUUGUCCGGCAUCAGCUUGUAGAAGAAAUGUUCUUAAAUCAUUGAUACCCACUGUUAUUUGUCUAUUCUAGAAUGUUGUGUAAGAUGGAAUUCGUUUUAGCACAGUAUUAUGAGUUGUUAUGUUAGGCCUCGUGUAUCAGCGUUUUCUGGUAUUCUGAGGGAUGUCACAUGUGUCGUUUGAAUUCAAGUUUGCGAGCCAGAUUUCUAGACCAAAGGAAAGGCAUCAAUUCAGGUCUUUUUAAAUUCGGAAAACUUUAAACAUCUUUUAUUGUAACCUGGCCAUCAUUUAUCCUAGAUCUCUCUACUUCUUCACUACAAAGCUACCGAGUCCAAGGUAUUGGUGCUCUUUUUCUGCUUUAAGACGCAUUGAUAGAACGGGUGUCUCUGAAACUGCUUCCAUGGGCCAGGAGAUCUAGAAUUCUCUCUGGUCAGCCUUUACAUGCCGCAGUCCAGUGCCCAUGAGUGGUUGGAUGCCCAGACACGUUUAGGCCACAGGGUUUGCCGUGCGGGGAUGGUGAUCCUGUCCCUGAAGAGUAGAAACGUGUUGACCCCUGUGGUUACUCACAAGCCACUUAGUUAGAACUUUCCUAAUAUGAACCCCUGCUUUAAGAGCAAGCUUUAAUAGCAAGCCUUUAAGACUCAUUCAUGCCAAACACCUGUACUGCAGACCGAUUCCCAAAACCUGUCACCUAAGAUUGUUUAAGCAAGAACUCAUUGUCUCACAGAGACAAAGGAAUAUGCAGGAACAUACUGUUGCCAUCCCCCGAACCACUGUGUUUACUGCCUCUCUACCAUUAAUUUCUUCUCUCUGGGCCCUUCCUUUCUUGAUUGUUACUAAACAUCUUGAACAUAGAGGUUCGUACUUGUGACGGAAUCCCUGAUGGCUCCCCCAACUCUGUUCAUGUAAAAACCAUGUACUGUGAUAUUUAUGAUUAGGCACCUCGGACUUCCUACAUGGCUGUUGUUAAGACUCAGUCACGUGGGCCACACGGAGGCCUUUGCUUACCAUGUGCGAGCAGACCACACAUGUGCAAGUUCCUCGGUCACAGAGCUGAGGGGACCCGUCCACAUCCGCUGCUAGAUAGUUCCCGGCCCUGAGGCAGGAAGAAAGGAUGUGAAGAAGGGACAGAAACACACAGGGUAUGACAGGAUAGGCAACUGUAAACACACAGACAAAUCCUUCAAAAGGGAAGAUGACAAUCUUUAUUGUUAUUACAAAAGCAAUUUUUUUUUUUUUAACUUCAGUCAUUUGAAUAAUUGCAAGAGCGACUAGGGGCUUAAUCCUCACACAGGCAUCAAGUCAGGCACAGUAGGUAGCUACAAAUCAUAA